AACGAACGCUGGCGGCAGGCUUAACACAUGCAAGUCGAACGCCCCGCAAGGGGAGUGGCAGACGGGUGAGUAACACGUGGGAACGUGCCUUUAGGUUCGGAAUAGCUCCUGGAAACGGGUGGUAAUGCCGAAUGUGCCCUUCGGGGGAAAGAUUUAUCGCCUUUAGAGCGGCCCGCGUCUGAUUAGCUAGUUGGUGAGGUAAUGGCUCACCAAGGCGACGAUCAGUAGCUGGUCUGAGAGGAUGACCAGCCACAUUGGGACUGAGACACGGCCCAAACUCCUACGGGAGGCAGCAGUGGGGAAUCUUGCGCAAUGGGCGAAAGCCUGACGCAGCCAUGCCGCGUGGAUGAUGAAGGUCUUAGGAUUGUAAAAUCCUUUCACCGGUGAAGAUAAUGACUGUAGCCGGAGAAGAAGCCCCGGCUAACUUCGUGCCAGCCGCCGCAGUAAUAC
rnacentral:rRNA from 1 species